AAUCUUGCGCAAUGGGCGAAAGCCUGUCGCAGCCAUGCCUCGUGAAGGAUGAAGGUCUUAGGAUUGUAAAAUUCUUUCACCGGGGACGAUAAUGACGGUACCCGGAGAAGAAGCUCCGGCUAACUUCGUGCCAGCAGCCGCGGUAAUACGAAGGGGGCUAGCGCUGCUCGGAAUUACUGGGCGUAAAGGGCGCGUAGGCGGACAUUUAAGUCAGGGGUGAAAUCCCAGGGCUCAACUCUGGAACUGCCGUGGAUACUGGGUGUCUUGAGUGUGAGAGAGGUAUGUGGAAGUCCGAGUGUAGAGGUGAAAUUCGUAGAUAUUCGGAAGAACACCAGUGGCGAAGGCGACAUACUGGCUCAUUACUGACGCUGAGGCGCGAAAGCGUGGGGAGCAAACAG
rnacentral:rRNA from 1 species